UACGUAGGGGGCAAGCGUUGUCCGGAAUCAUUGGGCGUAAAGCGCGUGUAGGCGGCCUUGUAAGUCCGUUCUGAAAGCCCGGGGCUCAACCCCGGGAGGCGGAUGGAUACUGCAAGGCUCGAGUACGGAAGAGGCGAGUGGAAUUCCCGGUGUAGCGGUGAAAUGCGCAGAUAUCAGGAGGAACACCGGUGGCGAAGGCGGGUCUCUGGGCCGAUACUGACGCUGAGGAGCGAAAGCGUGGGAGCAAACAGG
rnacentral:rRNA from 1 species